rnacentral:misc_RNA from 1 species
AUGAGCGUGAGCAGCAGGUAACUUUAUAAGCUUGUUGUGUAUAUAUUCCAAAAGAUAGAAGUGGUCGAUUACCUGUCUUGUAAAUGUUUUAAUAUGUGUCUAGCCUGUGCUUCCUAAAUUGCUUUGUUCUGAAAUGGUUAUUGUUAUGCUUUUGUUGACUGUAGUUUAUGGUAUGGGUUUUGUUAUCAUUUUUCCAUUUAUUAUGCUAUUUGUCUUCAAUGUUGCAGCAAGAGGUUGAACUAAGCA